rnacentral:misc_RNA from 1 species
AUGUAUAUUGUUUAAAUUCCUCUAACAUUGCAAAAAUAUUCAAAAGUGAUCUAAAUUACCAACUCAUCUUGUGUGUUUUGUGUAAAAGUUUUUAAACAUGAGCGAAGACAGUUCUACAGGUAGUGACAGUGAUACUGGCAAUGAAGAUAACAGAACAGCGAUGGCACUGUUUACAGCCAUUUAUAAAAACGAUUGUGACGAAAUCCGAAAACUUGUCUCAAAAAAUCGGUCAGUGGUGAAUUUUAAUAUGAACGGUACUACCCCUCUACAUGCCGUUUUGAAACAAGCGAUUAAGGCCAAAGGAUCUAAAAAGCCUUUAAUGGAAGCUAUAAAGGAGUUACUGAAAAACGGAGCCAAUCAGGAAGCAAAAAAUGAAAAAGAUGAAUCGGCUGUAGACGUAGUAACAAAACGAUUAAAGAAAUAUCCAGAUGAUUCAGACUGGAAAUCAAUAAAUAGUCUUUUUGAUAGGUCUAAAGAAAAAACUCAAUUGUCUUCAAAAACAGUACAAGCUGACGAUAAAAGAUCGGUCAAUAGAAUGUUAACAUUGGUUCAGACACAGUCAGAUGCUCCAACUACAUCAAAAACGAGACCACCUGGAGAAACUUAUGCAGUCUCAGGCUUAAAAACUUCUCUGCACGGUACCAUCUAUCAAUUACAGCUUCUCAUGUCACUUCUCAAUCGCGGUUUGAAUAAAUACGACCACUUUGAUUUGGCGACGGAAAUGAACAAAGCAGAAAAAUUUGACGACGCAGUGAUUCGGUACAAGACCUCUCAAAAUGAACAGUGGUCCUGGCGAUUUUUUCAAGCUAAACACAAACAGGACGUCCAGCGAGAUAGGAUAACGGUCAACGAUUUAUUAACCGAAUCAGACGGCCCUUUUAGCAUUCAAAAGUACUUUGUUUCUUUCUGUAAAAUCAAGAGCAGCGUCAUGUUUGACCAAUCGAACUUGGAAGAGUUUGACCUUUGCACAAACACCGAUUUUGAUUUUUCGGAAAUUAAAAAACGGAAAAACGAUGGAAACUUAACUCCCGCCGCACAGCAAAAAAACGAUUUGGUAAAUUUGUGGAAAAACUUAUUAGAGCUGGAGAAUUUAGAAAGCGAUGUAUUUUUAUCAUUUCCUAAUAUAACGAAUGCUAAAAAAUAUAAGUUUAGUGAUAACGCUAUCCCAUCGUUGUCUAAACUUUUAAACUCCAAUUUCCUGAAAAAAUCAUUAGAAUUGGAAAAACUCAAAGAAUUGAAGUCAGUGAUGGAGACGCUACAAGCGACACAAGUAAUUGAAGAUUUAAAGGAAAUAUUAAAAGAAAUAGAAUACAAUGUUCUUGAAUUAGAAGGUUCAUUAAAUAACAAUAAGAGCGAAAAAGGUAAAUAUAUUUCACUUGCUAACAAAUUAUUAAAUGUGAAAAAUAAAUUUAUGAGUAGCAGUAGAUACGACUAUUUAAAAAAAAUAAUUGUAAAAUUUAAAAAAAUUGAUGUAAAAGAUCAAAAUUAUUUUUCGGAAAGACUCAAAGUUUUUGAUGUUUCAAAAGAUCUGUUAAAGGAGAAUUUGAGUUUUGUGUCAGAGGCUGAGAAUAAACUUUUUUGUUUUGAGGAUAUUUCAUCAUCGGAACAUCAAGCUCUAAAAAAAGACAUAUGCACGAUAAUAGAAACGAAAGAAAGGUAUAUUGAUUUCAGUGAUGAAAUAGUAAAGUCUAAAGAUCUUUCUAUCCUAAAAAGCAACCUAUAUCGAUUUCCCUAUUUUCAGAAGAAUUUAGAUAAUUUUGAGAAAAAAGGUUUGGGUUUGGAUAGCGUUAAAGAAAAAUUGUUGGAUAAUUUAGAAAAUGAUAUUUCUGAUCUUGUUAUGUUAGAACUAAUAUUAAAUAAUAUCAAACUAGAAGAAUUUUUGAAAGAGUUUUUACGAAAGUUUAGAUUCGUAGUUUGUUACCCCGAUGUGGAUCGGCUCAAUCUGCUUAUAAAGAAAGAAAUGAGAAAUAAGUAUUCUUUUAUAAAUACUGAUUUAAUAACAGAUUCUUUUCAAAAGGAAAUGCUCGAUUGGUUUAAAGAUUAUAAAGAAGGCCGAAGUGAAUAUUUAUCUAAAGACAGAGGUGUGGAAUUUUUUCAACACAUUAAUCUAAAAAUAAAAUCCUUAAUGGUGUCAGGUUUAAAUAAAGCUUAUCCAGAAAAAUUAAAGGGAUUCAAUAUUUCAUUCGAACGUUCAAUAUUGACUGAUUUUUUGUCCUCUGAAAACAAGUUCGUGCAUUUAUCGACUAAACGCACUAGGCUAAGUGCCAUUAAAGUCUUACAAGGCAUAACCGAAUCAGGAUUAUAUAAGGAACAUGAUAGUUUUAUAUUUAUUCCUUUAGAGAAUCUAAGCAGAUCAGAAACUCAAAAACUAGUCAUUGAUACUUUUGGUGCAAUUGGAAGACAUGAUCUUCUUGUCAUCGAAUGCUAUCCUGAAACUUACAGCAAUUUUCCUUUACCUUAUUGGCAAGAGUUUAUUGAUAAUGUACAUUCCAUAUUAAUAAAUAACAAAGAAAAAAAGAUAAUUUUAAUAGGAGGACAAUUUGAUGAAUUAGCAACGCUGUUUAAAAGUUUGAAUAUUUCUGGAACUGAAAUGCUGCAAGACGAGUCAUCUUUUAAGUGUUUAAGCCACGAAUCUCAAUUUAAACUAUUACAACAACCAGUUACCUUUCAAGGAGAAAGAAUGUCGAUUAAUCAAUUGAUCGGUUUAGAAUGUGCUAGGAAAAUCAUUAAUGAAACACAUUUAGAUGAUCUUAUUAAUGGGAAAAUCAUUAGUUUGGGAGACGAAAAGGCUUUCAAAUUUACGGAUUGUGCUUUUGACUGUUAUGUGCCACGAUCGUUGCAUAUGCAGAAGCUUAAAAAAUGUGUAUUUGGCAUUAAGCGAAGUAUUUUCUUUCUUACUUGCGUCAGUAACAGUAAUAUAUAUCCUUUUAUCGAAAAUCUUCCCACAUACGAAUGGGUUGAAGGAACUAUAUAUUCUUAUGGAAUCAUAUAUACAAAACAAAGCGAUGACCCUAUUCGAGUUUUUAAUAAAAUUUGUACUAGCCAUCCGGAAUUGGCAGUUUACUGGAUACAUCAAAUUCAAAAUGAUUUUUUUUGGAAGGUGGCUACAAAAAAUGUUGAUCAAAUACAAGAUUGUGUAGAAUUGGAAUAUGAGUUAUCUGACGACCAGUUAUUUACAGAAGAAAAUUUUGUUAAAGAUUUUUCUAAUAAAGUUAUGUUGCUUGCCAAUGGUCCCGGAACUGGAAAAUCUACAUUUUUAGCAAGUGUCGGUAAAAGACUGAAAAAGAAACAUAAUAUGUGGUGGAUUGCGAGAAUUAACUUAAACGAUUAUGCAUUUGAGAACGAAUUACUACAUUCUGACGAUCUCAGAAAAUACACGAGAAGUGUAAAUGAAAUCCAUGAGAAUAUCAAUACUACGGAAGCCAUUGAAGUUAUUUCGGAAAUGGUAAUUCCUCGAAGUCCUCUCAUCUUUAAUAACGAUUUUCAAAGAGAAAUAUUUAAAGAAGGUCUACGAAAUGGUAACGCGGAACAAAUUACUCCAAAAAUUGUAAUUCUUUUUGAUGGUUUUGACGAAAUCAGUCCUCACUAUAAAGAAAAAACUGCGAAGCUUAUCACAGAAAUUAGCAAGACAAAUAUUCAAAACAUUUGGAUUACAACUAGAAUGAACGAAAAGGAUUUUCUAGAACGAGCAUUUUCUACGCCGGCGUUUAUGUUAAGUCCUUUUAACGAACAACAGCAAAUUAAUUUUUUGAUGAAUUUUUGGAGGCACAAUUUUAAAAAUGAAUUAGGAAACAUUAGUAAUCAAAAUAUAUAUCUGUUUGAAGAAACAAUAAAAAAAUAUGUGACUACAAUUCAAAAGAACUUACUUUAUAAUGAAGAAAGAGAAGAUUCUUUGAUCUCCAUUCAGUGUGCAGAUGAUAUAUUUGCUCUCUUCAACUUUACGCAUUUUGCACACCAGUUAGUCGACCAAUGGAAAAAUUCAGUUAAGGAUACAGCAACCGCUUUUACAAAUAAUCCUCUUCAAUUGAAAAUGUUGGCUGAAAUAGUAUUUUGGGAAAAUUUUGAACUGAUUGGGAAUUUAAGUUUACUGGAAUUAUUCAACAGGUUUAUUGAUAGAAAAUUUGCUAUAUUUUAUGAGCAAAAAAGUAUUUUAGGAGUAAGCACGGGCUCAGCUGAAAUUCGAGAAGAUCAUUCACAGAUUCUUCUACACAAACAUGAUUUAAUUGCUUUUCAAGAGAUAUUUCCAGACCAUACUGAGUACAUGGAAAACAUAAAUAUCGAGAGAGAAAUUUCAAAAUUAACUCGAGUUGGACUGUUAGUGAAGAACGAGUCAAGAUUAAUUUUCGUACAUCGAAGUUUUGCAGAAUAUUUUGUGAGUGGAUAUUUAACCAAGAAUUUAAAUAUGACAGAAGUCCAAAAUAUUUUGUUCAAAUAUGUAUUUUCUUACGAAGAUUAUUUAGUCGUUGCGUUAUUCCUCGAUCAACGGCUUGGAAAAGAAACGCAUGGAAUGAUAUUGCAGGAACCGGCAAUUGCAUACAUUAAUGAAGCAAUUUCCAAGCAAUUUAUAGAAAUUUUUACACAUCAUUUAGCACUAAAUAACUUAUCUAAUACCCUCAAAUUUAUUUUGAGGGUCCUUUGCGAAUAUCCAGCCUUAUUGGAAAGUGUGCUUUUAAAGGACGGGAUAUACGGUAAAUUUUUAUUAUUUGAGUUAGUAUAUGAUCCAAUUGGUAGAUAUAACUUUUCAGAAAGUUCUAACAUAUUAAAUGCCAUCUUGAUGACCAUUAAUGAUCAGGAUGAUCUUCUGCUGAAACUAUAUACAAAAAAAGUUCUAGAAGGACUAGUUCUUCUCGAUAGUAGACAAGCUAAUAUAACAAUUUUACAAGUUACUUUACUGUCUUCUUCUAACAAGAAUAUGUUUCAGUUGUUACUUGAUUUCGUCCGUUCAAAAAUGUACAUUCUUCGCCAGAUUCUUUUCCAGAGUGGAGACGAACUAGGGACCUUAUUACAUUUUUGUUGUAGGUAUGCUUCCAGAAAACUAAAGUUCUUUUUGGAUUGUUUAAAUUUGUCUGAAACGUGUGUAGGUUCACCGCAUUUUGAUCUACUGAGCGAACUAAUUUUAUCCAAAGAUGCACUAGGUAGCACAGCAUUGCAUUUGCUGGCAUUUAGAAAUCGUUCAGAGGAUAUUCAGUUAUUUCUGGCAUGCAUAAAAAACUUUUCAGAGAAACUUUUGACAGAACUACUACUAUCCCGCGAUAAGAAAAGUUUAACUGUUCUAGAUAUAGCAGUGUACAGAAACUACUCGGAAACUACAGUUGUAUUACUCGAUUUUUUGAAGCAUCGGAAAGAAUUUAAAGCUGUAGUUUUUCAAAACGGGCUCGAAAAUAAUAUUUUAUAUAGAGCUAUAUGUCAAGGUAAGGAUACUAGUAUGCUGGCAUUGCUUGACUGGCUUCAUUCCGCCUGUCUCGAUUCAGGUGAUCUUUGUCUAAUGGAUUUUUUAUUUGAAAAACAUCCUGUCGAUGGUAGAACAUCUCUCGGUAUAGCUGCGGCUAGAAAUUUCGGUUCAACUUUAUUCCGCUUACUGGAAUGGCUAAAUGGAACUAAUGACGAUCGCUGUACAAAUAGAUUUUUACUUCAGCUAUUAGCUUCAACUUCUCCAGAUCAUGACGGAAAAACUGCUUUGCAUCAAGCUGUAUAUUGGGAAUCGGAGGAUGCAUUAAAAGUUAUUGUGGAAUACAUUAUAGAAAACUUUGAUAUCGAAGCUCUGGCAACACUUCUGCUAGCUACAGAUAAGUUCUAUGAUACACCAAUGGAUUUAGCUAAGAACGAACAAACAAAAACAAUUCUGCGUCAAGGAUAUGAUAUGAUUAUUUCAACUCUACUUUCAGUAUCAGAGAACCUGAAUGCAUCCGAUACUGCAUUUGUUUUAUUUCUGGAUCACCUUAACGUUCUGGAAAAUUUUGUUAACAGGCAUGUGGAACACAGGCAGAGAGAAGCUUUGGACGCAAUCGUUAAAUUGAAACGUAUGUCAACGACUUUAAAGAAGUACAAACGCAGACCAGCGGAAUUAAAAUUUUAGCACUUAUGGAUCUAGUGGAAUAAUAGAUUAAAUGAUGGAUAAUGAGUGAUACUGAAAUAUAUCAAACUGAUAGCAAAGUGAGAAUUGAUCACAAUCGAGGAAAUUUCUGAUCUUCCAGGUUUUGCCAUGGAGCAUGGUAUUAACAACAGUUGUCAUUCGUCCUUACAAUGGGGAUAUU